GGGGUCUAGCUCAGAUGGUAGAGCGCUCGCUUAGCAUGCGAGAGGUACUGAGAUCGAUACUCAGGUCCUCCA
rnacentral:tRNA from 2 species